rnacentral:misc_RNA from 1 species
GAUGAAGAACGCAGCGAAAUGCGAUAAGUAGUGUGAAUUGCAGAAUUCAGUGAAUCAUCGAAUCUUUGAACGCACAUUGCGCCCCUUGGUAUUCCAUGGGGCAUGCCUGUUCGAGCGUCAUUUGUACCUUCAAGCUCUGCUUGGUGUUGGGUGUUUGUCUCGCCUCUGCGUGUAGACUCGCCUCAAAACAAUUGGCAGCCGGCGUAUUGAUUUCGGAGCGCAGUACAUCUCGCGCUUUGCACUCAUAACGACGACGUCCAAAAGUACAUUUUUACACUCUUGACCUCGGAUCAGGUAGGGAUACCCGCUGAACUUAAGCAUAUCAAUAAGCGGGA